UGGUUCUGGCAUCGAUGAAGAACGCAGCGAAAUGCGAUAAGUAAUGUGAAUUGCAGAAUUCAGUGAAUCAUCGAAUCUUUGAACGCACAUUGCGCCCGCCAGUAUUCUGGCGGGCAUGCCUGUUCGAGCGUCAUUUCAACCCUCAAGCCCCAGUGGCCUGGUGUUGGGGACCGGCGACCUCGCCCGGGGGAACACCCCCGGCGCGUCCGCCGCCCCCGAAAUGAAUUGGCGGCCCCGUCGCGGCCUCCUCUGCGUAGUAGCACAACCUCGCAGCGGGAGCGCGACGCGGCCACUGCCGUAAAACGCCCAACUUUUUUUAGAGUUGACCUCGGAUCAGGUAGGAAUACCCGCUGA
rnacentral:misc_RNA from 1 species